ACGGAGGGUGCAAGCGUUAUUCGGAAUUACUGGGCGUAAAGCGCGUGUAGGCGGUCCUGCAAGUCUAAAAUGAAAGCCCCGGGCUUAACCCGGGAAGUGCACUGGAAACUGUGGGACUUGAGUACUGGAGAGGAUGGGGGAAUUCCCGGUGUAGGGGUGAAAUCCGUAGAGAUCGGGAGGAAUAUCAGUGGCGAAGGCGACCACCUGGACGGUAACUGACGCUGAGAUGCGAAAGCGUGGGGAGCAAACAG
rnacentral:rRNA from 1 species